UUGCCUUGGUUUAACUUGUUAGGUCUAACCUUGUCUUCUUAUCGGUCAUCACUGUUUCUGGCUUUGUUUUAUUGCUAGUUGGGAUGUGUUAUUAUAUUAUUUGACCUUGGAUUGCGGCUUUUGGGAUUAUGUUUAGGCCUUAACAUGUCAUCCAUUACUGUGGAUUGUUCUAAUUGGAUUUUUUUUAGCCAGAAAUGCAUUCAAACAAUUUAAUAACAAUAUAAUGCCCAAUGUAGUUGGCUAAAACAAGCACUGAAAAACACAAGAAUAUGGACAUAAAAAAU
rnacentral:misc_RNA from 1 species